rnacentral:tRNA from 1 species
UCCCUGGUGGUCCAGUGGUUAGGAUUCUGCACUUUCACUGCCGAAGGCCUGGGUUCAAUCCCUGAUCUGGGAA